GGUCAGAGGUUGGACUCGAUGAUCUUGAGGUCUCUUCCAACCUAGAAAUUCUGUGAUUCUGUGUGAUCUUGGUCAAGAAAGGAAAGAGUUGCUUUCUCUGCCUUGGAUUUCUAGUGGCUGCUGUGGGUGAAUGGGAGGCUGUUUGAUGCUGACUGCUAGUAGUUUGCUACGUUUUCUUGGCAUUGAUUUGUCAUUCCCUAACUUAUUAAGACACGUUCUGGCUGAUGCGUGUGACACAUACUACCAGAUGAGCCACAUGUAAGAGACAACAACAACAGCAUAUAUAACUAGUGCCAUCAUAGAUCUUUGCUUUACUCAGGUUUCUGUAAGGUCUAAUUGUGCUUUCAUUCCUCAGCAGCUGGUAAGCCAUCAUAAAUACAGGAAAUAUUAACAACAGCCACAUCAGUUGUGAGAGAUUAGGUACAGUGUUCAGGUGGUGUUUGCUGUCUCUGGUCUAAGCAGGGAAGUUGGUCUAAAGCUGAAUUUAGAUAUGUCCAUCUAAUGAGCAUGCCUAUGGAAUUACAAGUUUAGACUGGAUUUUUUUCCAUAAUGAAAUGAAUAUCUGUAACUCUUAUUAUUAUCUGUGUGGCUCACAUACUCAUUGCUGCCAUUAUCAACCAUUCCAUGCAGGAUGUGGUCAUGAUCCUUGGUAUAUUUUUGAUUGAUGGGGUAUUUUGCAACAGACCUGGGGAUACCAGGUAUCUCUGAACUGAGAGCUGAGUCAAGGUAUUGAUCUUGCAGUGACUUCUUUGAGACAUUCUCUGGGUCUGAAGGAUGCCAUCUGUUCCUGCUUUUAGCAUAAAGAUGCUCUCAUUGGAGCCAGUAAAAUCUUGGAAGAGUGAAAGAAGCAUUAAUUCCCAUCUUGAUUACCUCUUCAGCUUUAGGCUGGAGCACUCCAGCUGGGGUUGAAAGGCCUGUUCAGUGUCCUGUUUUCAGAGCUUGCUGGAACCUUUUCAGUUUUUUAAAAGCUAAGGGAAAAAUACUCUUCCGUGGCAAAUUAGACCACUGAGGGACACAAAAAUGAUAAGAUGAACUUCUGACUUUGAACAUUGAAUACUUAUCUCCCACACCUCCAUUAAUUUCCUUAAGUUGUUAUUAAUUCCACCAUAAAUUAUUAUUAAUUUCGCUAUUCCUUUAUAUAUAUAUAAUGUUGAACACUACAUAGCAACAUUAAUGAAAAGUGAAUGAUAUCAGUGGCAUUUCAUACUCUGCAUGCAGUUAUCUGUGUAAGAACGUCUUGUUAUUGCUUUGUGCAUAUAAAAGACAAAUCAUCUUCCCAUCUGGGUAAAGCAGUCAGGGACUCCACAGUACAGAGCUCCUUAAAUUGGCAUGGAAAAUGAAAAGGAAGGGGAAAGAGGCCAGAGGAAGUAGUCCGGUGUUGUUUAACCACAGCUGCAGCAGCAUCUCACAGGAAGUAUCUCUGGCCAAAAGGGAGAGGGGUGGUCCCCCUUCCAGUGCUCUGCCCCUUGCAGUGUUGCAGACCUGUCUGCAGAGUGUUACAGCCAAGGCAUAUGCCUCUCAAGAAAGCCUGAGAUAUUGGAGCGAAGCAGUGAAUCAUGCACUGUGACUACAUCUGCACUGGGCAGGAAUCCUGCAGGCUUGAUGCUGUCUUUGAGGUGACUGAAAUGAUACAGCCUCAUUUUCCUAACUGAGAAUGGUAAUGAAUGGCUGGCCCACAUUAGUGCAGUGCCUGCUGCCCUCCUCAGAGCUGUGACUUCUCUGCCAGAGGAAGAACGGAGGGAGCUGCACCAAAACCCCAGAGUGAGUAAAUGGUCUGAAUUCCCCAUGUCUUCAUUUAUUUCUGCAAAAUGGGAAUAAUGCUUCCCACCUUCUGCUACUUGUUCACUUCAAUAAUGACCAAUAAUCAAACAUUGCCAAGUUGCUUUAGAAUUUAGUGGAGCCCACACAGCAUCCUUUCCUUCAGACUGCAUUAUACAGAUUGGCUUGCUUUUUCAAGCAAAUUGGACAGCUGGAUCCUCCUUCCAUGAGGACAACAGAAGCAAGUUAAAAAAGGAAAGACAUCUUCUAGGUAUUUCUUAAUGUGUGCUGGAAGCUAAGGAAGAAUGAUCCUUCCUUACAGGAGGGCUCUUUUGCAAAACACCUUUGGAGAAGCACUUAAAAUGCUGCCUGUCCUGACUGCUUUGUGUAUUGCCCCACGUUCUCCUGGAACAGGGAACAGUCGUGGGCAGGCAAUGGAAUGAACAAAACAAUCUGAUCUAUGUGAUCUUUCUGGGUUUCCUUCAUCAUCUAUAUGGCCCGGGGGAACAGUUAACUUAACAGUCAGGGGCAUGGUUGAAUCUAUCAUAAAGUGAUCUGAGAUGGGGCUAGGUUAAAUAUCAGUACAAGACAGUUCAGAAUAAGGUUAGUUGUAGCCAUAUAGGUUGGGUUCAAAGUACCUUAAGUAGUUAGUCCCAUUGUAACUCAGGCCUUCCAACCUACAGUGUAAUCAUGGGAGGAACUGACCAGCAACAUACCAUACACCUAACAGAGAUUCUCAGAGCUGCUGUCCUGUUGUGAAUCGUCCCGGUUGAUUCACAUUAAAAAAAUUUAAUUUCUCAAACAGAGCAGCAGUAGUUUGUUAAAAUGUUGGACUGAAUUGCUGCACAACCAAAAUAACACUCCCCAAGAUCUCCUCACCAUUCAGCACAGCCUCCAGUGUUUAUCAUAUGAAUUCAGCACAACCACAAACUAAUUUUUUUUCCUUUUGUCUUUUCCCCAGAUUAAAUGUGAUUUCCACAUGGGGCAAAGGGAGGGGAUACCUCCUUUGCGUGUAUUUUAGCAACCAAAUAAUUUAGUCUUUUAUUCACAAACAAGCUGCUUCUUCUCUUCUCCCUGUCCUUGUUUUUGGAGACUAUCCCACAUUUCUGUUCAUGCUAACCAGAGCUAUAUUACAUCUGGCACUGUCCCUGUGAUUGCUCAGGCAGCUGGAACAAGUUAGAUUGCAUUGUUUCCUAUGACUUCCCCUUGCAUAUCAGUUGCCAUUACUCCACCUCUGCUGGAGCACUUUUCCAUCUAUGUUCUCUCCUUCUGUUCUCUGCAAACUGCCAGAAGCCUUCACUGGUUCUUCAUUUCCACUGUGAAGCAAAAAUAUCCCAAAACAGAUGCUAAGGAAAAUAUACUAUGGCUUUUGGACUAAAGCAAUACACAUUACAAUAAAUGCUACUGCACUGCUGCAUUUGGGCCUGUCUCUGUUAAGGAUGGGCAUUUUCCUUUCCUGAGGGAGCGCAAUGCGAGAUGCUUUCCAGUCUUUUUUUUUUUUUUUUUUUUGUUUAGUUUACUAAUCUGAACAUUUCCAAGAGGUGUCCUAAACCCCAGGUCCAAGGUUCAUGUAAAGCCAUGCAGAUAAUUUCUUCCCUCCAAGGUGUACCCAUGUGUGACCCACCCCAGGCAGACCCUAGCCCAGGUGGGUUUUGUGGCAAUUGCUACCUUAGUUUUAGUUAUCACUGCUCUAUGGCUCUUGCGUUCACACUUCUGGUUUAUGACCACGUAGAACAGUGGGUUUUCCUCCCUGACCCACAAGUGAUGGGCUGGAGGCUGCUGAAUCCCAGUCUUUCAUGGUUACAGAAGAAAGAAGGCGUUGCAUUUGAUGGAGUAUGGCUAAAGUGGAAGAUGUAUACAUUUUUUUAUGAAGUACAGAUACACCCCAGCCAUUAAUUUCUGGUCCAGAUUUGGAUUACUAUUGUUUAUUUGUUAAGUGCCAACAAUGUGUUCAGUGCGGUAGAAGACUUGAAACAAAGACAGUCCCAGCCCUCAAGAACUUGGAUCUGAAUUUCUCCAAGAGUCAGAAUAGGGCUUAGAUCAGGUGUUCCAGUUCAGGCUCAUCCCCAUUAUGAAGUGGUGCUGAAAAAAUCCAGAUGUUUAAUAAAUAAUCACUGCGUUUUCUUGUAAAAAUGUAACAUUUAUUGUAAAUGACUAAUUUUUUUAAUGAAUAUUUUGGAAAUGACAUCUAUGUGGAGAACCUAUAAACUGCAAUAAAUUGUACAGGGGUUGCCUGAUGUUUCUGGGGGCUAAAGAGAAUGGAAACUCUUGGCCAAGAUCAUGAAAAAUUUUCAGACAAGCCAGGGAGUGAGUGCCGAUAUGGUGUAAUCUUAGGCAUCUAUUAAAGGUUUCAGGCUACAUUAUCUGUAUAAGUGCUGAACAGGCAUGGACUGAGGCAUCAGAGCCUGUUGCAGCAAACAAAUGUUAAGGCUGAGCAAAGCUCAUUAGGAACUGAGGAUCUCUUUCUAGCUAUUCACUGUGAAAUAAAAUGAUGCACUCGAAGAGGUAAAGGCAUCCUUAUAAAGCAUAGUGGAAGGUCAGGAAGGAAGGGUUUAACUUUCUGUUGGGUAUGUUUGGGCUUUAGGGCUCAGCCCAUGCCACAUCAGUCCAGCCUACUCAAGUACGAAGUGAAAUCCUCAGCCGUAGAUUAGUGGCACACAACACAUGUGUGUGUGUGUGUGUGCGCAGCCUUUACCUUCCUCUAAAUUUGCACCUCUGCUCCUGUGGGGUUCUGGGCCUCAAACACUUUGCAUUUAGCAUGGUAGUUGACAGAAAGUGCAGAUGUGUUAGAUGUGUAACCUGCUUUAACCAGAAGCAAAGCCCUAGGUAUUCUAGCCUUAAACAAUCUAUUCCUCAUUACUACUCCUGUGACAAAUAAAUUCAGUUGACACAUAUGACAUGAUACAAAGCCCAGGGAAAGCUCCCAUUGAUUUCCAUGUCAUUUUGAUCAAACUAUCAGAGGCUAGAGAAUUACUUAAAUUUUAAAUAAGAAUUAUUAUUUAGAACAAAAUCCCAUCACAGUUUUGCACAUGUCAUGGUAGAAAGCAAGCACCUGUUCUGGGUAAUUUUAUUCCAAGUUUCUGUGAACAUUUUGUUCAGCUUAUUUUUCUCCCAUAUUCCUUUUUCUCCCCGUCUCCCCAUACUGGUCACCUCUGACGUUGCAUUAACAUGACUAAUCUCUGGGUGGAAAAAUUACAUUCCACUGCGGAUGUCUCUAGUCUGAAGCAGGGUGAGUGACACACCUGUGUACCAGACCUACGGCGUUGUUUAGUGUGGAUAAUAAAUGAGUGGACGUGAUUUGUUCAUGGAAUGUGUACAAUUACAGGCAAAUACUGUAAACCACUCAAAAGCCUUUCCACCGGGACAGAUCCUCCUGUCUUUACUCAGACAAAAUUCCCACCACUUCCCUGUCUAAACACAACCGUAUUUGUAGUCCAGGUUUAUCGCGGGCAGUCGGAAGGCAGGGGAGAAGGAGAGAGGUGCUGCUGUCCCUGUAGUGCCGAGAAGCGCUUUCCAGGUGGAGCUCAAGGGUGGGAUGACCCCUGCUGCUUCGGCUGGGAAUUGCCGGCCCCCGGAGCUGCUCGGCGUGGGAGCAGCAGCUCUGGUUGACGGCAGUGAUCUCCACAGCUUCACGGAAAGGUGUGCGACUUUCUGCCGAUUUCCAGCACAUAUUGGGGGCGCUUUGGAGAAGAAGAUGAUGCUAUAGGCUCUUUAAAAUCCGCUCAGGCAACAAUAGGUCUGGUCUGCUUUGCUGAUAAAUUAUGUGAUUCAUCUGAGACAUAAAUUUGGCUUACAGCAGAAGCGUUUCCCUGGCUGAGAGGCAUACUGUAACAACAAAUGUACUUAUUGGAUUGUCUGCCACCACUGAAGUCAUCGUCUUCCGGCUGAGGCCAAAUGUUACAGUGCACGUCUCCCCUCAUCUCUCAAGCAAAUCACAAGACUGCUUAUACAACUCCAAGAAAACUUAACUGUAGAUAGUAUGCUAUGGAGCUGACACUUCUGUAAUGAUACACGUGUGAUCUCAGUUUAUUGGAUGAUCAUCGGCUUUGGAUACAGCAAUUCCAGGAGGUUUUCUUGAGUAACACUCUCAGACCCUCACUACAUCUUAGUAAGUGGGCCAUGCAGUGUAAUCUCUCUCAGUAAAUGGGCCAUGCAGUGUAAUCUUCUCUUCAGAUGACCUCCAAGACAUUAUUGCCACAUCCUA